CUUCUUCAUUCUUGCCCAAAUUUGAAAGGAAGAAAACCCUUUUGAGUUUCAAAACAUUCGGCCAUUGAUUGGCGUUACCUUGCGAAAUACGUCAAACCAAAUUAUUUCGAAGCUCUCACUAUCCUAUCAUCGAUUUGGUAGCUUUUUAAUCACUUUGAGUUUUGGAAUUGUGACAUGUAUAUAGAGAUUAGAAGUUAAGAAAGUGGCCACUAUCUUAAUCAUUUGGUAUGCUUGAUAAUUGUGUCAAAUAUUGAGUUGUUGAAAAGUUGGUAUGUACCAAAUGGUGUAUGAACUAGCUGUUGUUUGAUGUGGUUUAGUUGAUGAUUUUAAAAUUGAAUAUGUCAUUAGAUAUGCUAGAAGUUGAGUAUUGAAGAAAUCUAAGUUGAACGAAUAGAUGUGCAUAUAUGCUUAAGUGAUUGGAAUGGAAAUGAAAUGGCAUGAUUCUAUA